CCCUUAACUAUUAAAAGUUUCGUUUUGGUCCUUUAACUUACUUUUUGAUUUCGUUUUGGUCCCUUAACUCUUCCUCCGUCAAUCACUUUGGUCCUUUAUGUUAGGAUGAAUGUAUCAGAGUUAAGGGAUCAAACUGAAACAAAAAAAUAAGUUAAGGGACCAAAACGAAACUUUUAAUAGUUAAGAGACCAAAAGAAAACCCAAAAAUAAAUUAUUGGAUCGAAACAAAAAUUUUAAUAGUUAAGAAA
rfam:Medicago truncatula strain A17 unplaced genomic scaffold scaffold0096, whole genome shotgun sequence.